UACGAAGGGGGCUAGCGUUGCUCGGAAUCACUGGGCGUAAAGCGCACGUCGGCGGACUCUUAAGUCGGUGGUGAAAUCCUGGAGCUCAACUCCAGAACUGCCUUCGAUACUGGGAGUCUCGAGUCCGGGAGAGGUGAGUGGAACUGCGAGUGUAGAGGUGAAAUUCGUAGAUAUUCGCAAGAACACCGGUGGCGAAGGCGGCAUCCUGGACCGAUACUGACGCUGAGGAGCGAAAGCCAGGGGAGCAAACGGG
rnacentral:rRNA from 1 species